rnacentral:rRNA from 1 species
ACUCAAAGGAAUAGACGGGGGCCCGCACAAGCAGCGGAGCGUGUGGUUUAAUUCGAUGUUACACGAAGAACCUUACCAGGGUUUGACAUGCAGGUGGUAGGGAACCGAAAGGGGACCGACUCUUCGGAGAGCCUGCACAGGUGCUGCAUGGCUGUCGUCAGCUCGUGUCGUGAGAUGUUCGGUUAAGUCCGCUAACGAGCGCAACCCUCGCUGUGUGUUAUACGUGUCACACGGGACUGCCGGUCUUAAGCCGGAGGAAGGUGGGGAUGACGUCAAGUCAGCAUGGCCUUUAUAUCCUGGGCUACACACACGCUACAAUGGCCAACACAACAGGUCGCGAAACCGCGAGGUGGAGCCAAUCCCCAAAGUUGGUCUCAGUUCAGAUCGCAGGCUGCAACCCGCCUGCGUGAAGACGGAGUUGCUAGUAACCGCAGGUCAGCUAUACUGCGGUGAAUACGUUCCCGGGCCUUGUACACACCGCCCGU